GACGAACGCUGGCGGCGUGCCUAAUACAUUCAAGUCGAACGCAGUGGGGACGGGUGAGUAACACGUGGGUAACCUCCCAUCAGAGGGGAUAACACUUGGAAACAGGUGCUAAACCGAUACUGAUUGAUGGACCCGCGGUGCAUUAGCUAGUUGGUGAGGUAACGGCUCACCAAGGCCACGAUGCAUAGCCGGCCUGAGAGGGUGAUCGGCCACACUGGAACUGAGACACGGCCCAGACUCCUACGGGAGGCAGCAGUAGGGAAUCUUCGGCAAUGGACGAAAGUCUGACAGAGCAACGCCGCGUGAGUGAAGAAGGUUUUCGGAUCGUAAAGCUCUGUUGGUAGAGAAGCGGUAUCUAAACAGAAAGCCACGGCUAACUACGUGCCAGCAGCCGCGGUAAUAC
rnacentral:rRNA from 1 species